CCUCUAUUUAUGUGUGUCUAAUGCAAAUAUAGGUGGGUCAGUCAUCAUACUGUAAAUAGUCUCAAAGCAAAAAGAAUGAAACAGUUCUUGUCAAACCGGCCUUCGGAAAUGCAAACAGUUCCAUCCUUCAUGCCUGAAGAAACAUUUUAAACAUCAUUUGAUAAACAAAGUUAAAGCAAAUGUGUCAGAAUUUUUCUUCCUUCUUCCUUCAGACCAGCCUGACAUACAGACUCAUCACAGAGAGGAGGAGACAUAAACUCCAUGCUGACUAACAGCCCAGAAAUGCCUGCAAUUCCUUCAUUCAUUAAAAAAACAAACAGUUUGGUCAUCAUUUGACGGGUUUGGCUAACAGGCUAACAGGUGUCCUUGUUGAGUGACCUGGUAGGAACUGAGUGGAGCUCAGUGAAGUGGAGAACUGGACACUGUCUGACGGAUGUGGCUGACAGGCUGCUCUUGUUGUCUAAACUGAAGUGUGACGGAUCUGAGAGGAGCUCGAUGAAGAACGGUACUACCAGUGUUUCACCUCGCACAAUAAGCGUGUCAGUAAAGGUCCAUAAAUCCACAGUAUCUGAGCAUCACUUUGAACUCCAGUUAAUCCAGUAUGAAUGGUUACAGUGUUUCUCUCCAGCUCCUGCAGUCUGACA